rnacentral:SRP_RNA from 1 species
CUGUGCUAGUCGGGGAGGCAGCGGUGCCCUGUAGUCUGCAAUCCGCUUUAGCAGAGAUUAUGUCCGUAUUGAGGCUUUAGUUUGUGGGGUCAGCCUGCAGAAUUUUAAUGCUGACGGUUGAGUCUUGCACAACGGGAAACUGUGAACCGUGUCAGAUCCGGAAGGAAGCAGCACUAAGCAGCCCCUCUCGUGUGUUGCAAGGUUGCUUAAUCUGAGUUGAAACCUGCAGUAACGCCCGGAGGCUGAUGUCGAGGCCGGAUGCACAG